rnacentral:rRNA from 1 species
GACGAACGCUGGCGGCGUGCUUAACACAUGCAAGUCGAACGGAAAGGCCCUGCUUUUGUGGGGUGACCGAGUGGCGAACGGGUGCGUAACACGUGAGCAACCUGCCCUUGACUUUGGGAUAACUUCAGGAAACUGGGGCUACUCCAGUAUCGGAGCCCCUGUUGCAUGGUGGGGGUUGGAACGUUGCGGCGGUUGGGGAUGGAUUCGCGGGUGAUCAGCUUGUUGGUGGGGUAGUGGCUUACCAAGGAUUUGACGGGUAGCCGGCCUGGGAGGGUGACCGGCCACAUUGGGACUAAGGUACGGCCCAGAGUCCUACAGGAGGCAGUAGUGGGAAGUAUUGCACAAUGGGCGGGAGCCUGAUGCGGCGACGCCGCGUGCGGGAUGACGGCCUUCGGGUUGUAAACCGCUUUCGCCUGAGACGAAGCGUGAGUGACGGUAAUGGAUAAAGAAGCACCGGCUAACUACGUG